rnacentral:rRNA from 1 species
AAAAGAAACUAACAAGGAUUCCCCUAGUAACUGCGAGUGAAGCGGGAACAGCUCAAAUUUAAAAUCUGACGUGCCUCUGGUCGUCCGAGUUGUAGUCUGGAGAAGCGUUUUCCGUGUUGGACCGUGUAUAAGUCUCUUGGAACAGGGCGUCAUAGAGGGUGAGAAUCCCGUCUUUGACACGGACUACCAAUGCUUUGUGAUGCGCUCUCAAAGAGUCGAGUUGUUUGGGAAUGCAGCUCAAAAUGGGUGGUAAAUUCCAUCUAAAGCUAAAUAUAGGCGAGAGACCGAUAGCGAACAAGUACCGUGAGGGAAAGAUGAAAAGCACUUUGGAAAGAGAGUUAAACAGUACGUGAAAUUGCUGAAAGGGAAACGCUUGAAGUCAGUCGCAUCUGCCAGGACUCAGCCUUGCUUUUGCUUGGUGCACUUUCUGGUUUGAUGGGCCAACAUCAAUUUUGACCGCCGGAGAAAGGCUUUGGGAAUGUGGCACCUUUGGGUGUGUUAUAGCCCUUUGUCAUAUACGUCGGUUGGGAUUGAGGACCGCAGCACGCCUCUAUGGCCGGGGUUCGCCCACGUACGUGCUUAGGAUGUUGGCAUAAUGGCUUUAAGCGA